GGAGGCGUGCCCGAGCGGCCGAAGGGAGCGCACUGCUAAUGCGUUAACCGGGCAACCGGUUCCGGGGUUCAAAUCCCCGCGCCUCCG
rnacentral:tRNA from 1 species